UGCUUCGGGCAGCGACGGCGCGCCUCUCCCGCGAGUCAUCAGUUUCGGCUCGAGUGCGGCACGGCCUCGGCCGAGACCCGGUUGGUUUCUUGUGCUGCGUACCCGCGCGAAGGGCAUCCUUCUCUCGUCGUCCCAACUGUCCCUACGUUCGUCCGCUGCUCCCCCUCCGGGGCGGGGCACGCGACGGAACUCGUGGCCCGGUCCGUUACCCGCGUCGCCUCCGGCUGUCGCGGCGAGCGGGCAGUGCCCGAGCUCUCGGAUGCGGAAAGCACCGCGGGUGCCGACGACGCGCGUCGUCAAAAGCGCCCGAGCAACGCACUCAGACCCCGACCCAGCAAGACGACCGUCGCUCCCGUCGCGGCCCGGCCGCGCGGGAAGGGACGUCGCCGAGGAAUGCUACCUGGUUGAUCCUGCCAGU
rnacentral:misc_RNA from 1 species